GACGAACCGAGCGAACGUUGUUCGGAAUCACUGGGCUUAAAGGGCGCGUAGGCGGACUGCCGCGUCCGGGGUGAAAUCCGCCGGCUCAACCGGCGAACGGCCUCGGAUACGGGCGGCCUCGAGGCGGGUAGGGGCAAGCGGAACUGUGGGUGGAGCGGUGAAAUGCGUUGAGAUCCACAGGAACUCCGGUGGCGAAGGCGGCUUGCUGGACCCGAUCUGACGCUGAGGCGCGAAAGCCAGGGGAGCGAACGGG
rnacentral:rRNA from 1 species